AACGAACGCUGGCGGCGUGCUUAACACAUGCAAGUCGAACGCGAAAGGGAACUUCGGUCCCCCGGUAGAGUGGCGCAUGGGUGAGUAACGCGUAGAUAAUCUACCCCUAUAUUUGGGAUAACAGCUCGAAAGGGCUGCUAAUACCGAAUACACUUAAUGUAACGCGAGUUAGAUUGAGGAAAGGUGACCUCUUCAUGAAAGUUACUGUAUAGGGAUGAGUCUGCGUACCAUUAGCUAGUAGGUAGGGUAACGGCCUACCUAGGCGACGAUGGUUAGCGGGUCUGAGAGGAUGAUCCGCCACACUGGAACUGAAACACGGACCAGACUCCUACGGGAGGCAGCAGUGAGGAAUAUUGCGCAAUGGGGGAAACCCUGACGCAGCGACGCCGCGUGGGUGAAGAAGGCCUUCGGGUUGUAAAGCCCUGUCAGGUGGGAAGAAGUGUAUCAUGGCUAAUAUCCAUGGUAUUUGACGGUACCACCAAAGGAAGCACCGGCUAACUCCGUGCCAGCCGCCGCCGUAAAAC
rnacentral:rRNA from 1 species